ACAAUCUCACUUUAUCAGUCUAUCUGCAAAUUCAACAAUCAAAUAUAUCUCCCUUCACAACAUGUGAAACAACCACAACAACCACCACCAGAUCCACCACCGCAACAACCACCAUCACCAACAAAAUCUUUGAAAUUUUACAUUCAAACACUCUGAAUCAUAAACACAAACCCCUUACACUUCAUCACUCUCUACAUCUAAAUACUUCAAAAAUGAGCCUUUGAAAUGAAGAAGAUGAUGAUCAUGAUGAAGACAGGGAACUAAAUACACAGUAUUAUUGUCGAGUGUGACAAGGUGGCAGGACACACCUGUUGUUUGAGAUGCUCACAGCCUAUACAAUAUGAGGCCCUUGAUAGCCAGGUCUGGUCCACUGUUCAUGGAACUUCAGUGUGAUUAAUAUCUCUCCACCCUUUCUUGUUCUUCUGAAUUCUAAUCUCGAGCAGUAGAGAAUGUUGCUAAAAACACUGCAAUUGCAAAUAGUGGUGUGAUGAAUACGGACAGAAGGUCCAUCCUUCAGGAGAGAAUAGAACCAUGUCCACUAAGCUCAUCAAUCUACUAUGGUGGACAAGAAGAUAUGUAUAUCCAUGCUUCCAAGGAUCUGACCUCAAAAUUAUAUACUAAAUUUUCUGUGGAACAGGAUUCUAAAGAGGGGGAGGAGUCCAACCAUCUGCAGGGUGCUACUAGAGGAAACUGGUGGCAAGGAUCUCUUUACUAUUAAGAUGUUGCGCUCUGCUUCCAUGAUGUCAACGUUGAUUUUUCAAAGGAAAAUCCAUGGUGACUUGGUAGCAGUUUGAGGUCUGUCUUGGGUAUAUAUAGAAGAUGAUACAGUAACUAGUUCAUCUCCCUUUUUUUCUUUUUAUAGUGGUGGCGAGAGCUUGGUUUUAUCAUAGUUCUCCCUUUUAUAGUGCAACAACAUAUAGACACAUGUUUCACUUUUUCGACAGAGAAUGAUUGUAGACAUGUAUCUUUGUUUCAUGAACUGGGUUGUUAUGUUGAAAAAUAAGGUUCAUUGCUAA